UGAGCUGUAGCUCAGCGGUAGAGCACUUGCCUACCAUAUAUGAGGCCCUGGGUUCGAUCCUCAGCACCACAU
rnacentral:tRNA from 1 species